rnacentral:rRNA from 1 species
UACGGGAGGCAGCAGUGGGGAAUAUUGCACAAUGGGCGAAAGCCUGAUGCAGCUAUGCCGCGUGUAUGAAGAAGGCCUUAGGGUUGUAAAGUACUUUCAUCGGGGAGGAAAAAACAAAACUAAUAAUUUUAUUUCUUGACGUUACCCGAAAAAGAAGCACCGGCUAACUCCGUGCCAGCAGCCGCGGUAAUACGGAGGGUGCUAGCGUUAAUCAGAAUUACUGGGCGUAAAGAGCACGUAGGUGGUUUUUUUAAGUCAGAUGUGAAAUCCCUGGGCUUAACCUAGGAACUGCAUUUUGAAACUGAAAUACUAGAGUAUCGUAGAGGGAGGUAGAAUUCUAGGUGUAGCGGUGAAAUGCGUAGAUAUCUGGAGGAAUACCUGUGGCGAAAGCGGCCUCCUAAACGAAUACUGACACUGAGGUGCGAAAGCGUGGGGAGCAAACAGGGAUUAGGAUA